CCUACGGGGGGCAGCAGUGGGGGAUAUUGCACAAUGGGGGGAACCCUGAUGCAGCGACGCCGCGUGAACGAAGAAAUAUUUCGGUAUGUAAAGUUCUAUCAGCAGGGAAGAAAAUGACAGUACAUGACAAAGAAGCCUCGGCUAACUACGUGCCAGCAGCCGCGGUAAUACGUAGGGGGCGAGCGUUAUCCGGAUUCACUGGGCGUAAAGGGAGCGCAGGCGGCACGGCAAGUCCGGUGUGAAAGCCCGGGGCCCAACCCCGGGACUGCACUGGAAACUGCCGGGCUGGAGUGUCGGAGGGGCAGGCGGAAUUCCGAGUGUAGCGGUGAAAUGCGUAGAUAUUAGGAGGAACACCGGUGGCGAAGGCGGCCUGCUGGACGACGACUGACGCUGAGGCUCGAAAGCGUGGGGAGCAAACAGGAUUAGAUACCCGUGUAGUC
rnacentral:rRNA from 1 species